CCUGUGGAGUGUUAUAGCAAACCGUUGUAGGGAGUAAGUGCCGAAGCGGGACACGAUGAAUCAGGAA
rfam:Desmospora sp. 8437 genomic scaffold SCAFFOLD1, whole genome shotgun sequence.